rnacentral:lncRNA from 1 species
GGAUGAGAUCUCUGAAUAUCCUAAGCCAAGUGCAGGCCAUAGGAGAAAGCAGUGAAAAAGAAACACUGUGACAAGCAAGGAAGAAACUUCAGACCAAGUUGACAGGCAGCCCUUCAGUUUACUGACUGCCGCUUCUUACCUGCCAACGCCAAGCACAAAGCUGCCUGCAGAGCCAGCCUCUAUCUGUGGUCCUUGUGCCAAUUAUCACUGCCCCACUCAUGCCGCAGGAUAUAAAGCAGAGUGACAGGGUCACAGGACUGCCAGAGGAAUACAGGUAGGGGCCUGCAGAGUAUGCGGAUUACUGCCAAGUGAUCAACUAUACAAAGGAAGUCCCAUGUUACGACACUAACUCAUAUUUUUCUACUAUUAGCAUUAGUCCCUGGUAUAUAAAAUUUCCAUAUAUUGGCUGAACUGAAGUGGGAUCCCUGUAGGUAACUCUGGUUAUAUUUAACAAAAAUAAGAUGUAGAACCUGUUUGAGGGGCAAACGAAGGAAAACAUCCUCGUGGGAAGUCCAACUGGACUAAGAACCCUGGACUCUAGCACUGUUUUCACCUUGCCCUUGGGGGUUCUUGGUAUUAUCACUACCGUGACUCUACUGCCUGUUGGAGAGGGGUGGUCCUCUUCCACUUUGUCACUCUGAUCCAAGCAUGAAAGAUUUCUUCCUCUAUUCUCCAUAGAACAAAAUAAAAUUUACUUAUGUCCAAC